GCCUCUAUGGUCUAGUGGUAUGACAUGUCACUUGUAAUGAUAGGGUCCCCAGUUCAAUCCUGGGUGGAGGCA
rnacentral:tRNA from 1 species